rnacentral:sRNA from 1 species
UUUUUAUGUUUUUUUUUGGUUUUAA